rnacentral:rRNA from 1 species
UGGGGGGACCAUCCUCCAAGGCUAAAUACUCGUUGUCGACCGAUAGUGAACCAGUACCGUGAGGGAAAGGUGAAAAGUACCCUGAACAAGGGAGUGAAAAAGAACCUGAAACCAUAUGCUUACAAGCGGUCGGAGCCUACGGGUGACGGCGUGCCUUUUGCAUAAUGAGCCUACGAGUUACUCCUCGUUAGCGAGGUUAAGGAUUUAAGAUCCGGAGCCGAAGCGAAAGCAAGUCUGAAUAGGGCGAUUAGUUAGCGGGGGUAGACGCGAAACCGUGUGAUCUACCCAUGAUCAGGUUGAAGCUUCGUUAAACCGAAGUGGAGGACCGAACCAGUUCAC